rnacentral:rRNA from 1 species
UACGAAGGGGGCUAGCGUUGCUCGGAAUCACUGGGCGUAAAGCGCACGUAGGCGGCUUCUUAAGUCAGGGGUGAAAUCCUGGAGCUCAACUCCAGAACUGCCUUUGAUACUGAAGAUCUUGAGUCCGGGAGAGGUGAGUGGAACUGCGAGUGUAGAGGUAAAAUUCGUAGAUAUUCGCAAGAACACCAGUGGCGAAGGCGGCUCACUGGCCCGGUACUGACGCUGAGGCACGAAAGCGUGGGGAGCAAACAGG